rnacentral:tRNA from 1 species
GGAUUGUGGCUCAGUGGUAGAGCGCUUGCUUAGCACCUUUGAGGCACUGAGUUCAAUCCUCAGUACCA